AAUAGACUUAAGGAAUUUGGAAAUUAUAGAGGAUAAAGGAACUUUGGCAUCGUACCCGUCUUACUCAGAUAACAUUUGGCGUCACCUUGCUUUUGAGGACUUUUACUUUAUAGGCAGGAACGAUUAUAGCGAAGAAGAAGGGGAAGAAGUUGAUGUGGGUGCACCAAUUUUAUCUGAAAUCUCUGCUAAGCAAUCUUCAAAUAUUGAGGAAUUAACUGAGGAAUUAUUCCCUUGCGGUGGCCAUCCUUCAAAUUGCAAGAAGCCUUUUUGUUUCAACUGUAGUGCUAUCGCAGUAAAGUCUUGUGGAUUUUAGAAUAUUUUUUAAAAAAAUUGAACUCUUGGGUUUUCGUGAAGCUUUCAACUUAAUCAAAAUCCUACUGCACAGUUUUUAUCUAAAAAGAAUUCAAAGUUAUACUCCAUUCCCGCUUUAAGGAAAAUUGCUUGAAUGAAGCGUUGUAACACUUCAGCGUCUAAACGUAUGAAACUCAAUUAGACGAAGGCCAGUUUUA